ACAGUAGUGGUUCAGGGGUAGAAUUCUCGCCUUGCAUGUGGGAAACUCAGGUUCAAUACCUGGCCAAUGCA
rnacentral:tRNA from 1 species